UAUCGCUUUUCCUAGUUUUCUUAUCGGUGCCUCAAGUUUCUCGGAUGGCAUUUUAAAAUUAUACUUGUAGCAGAAACUUGCAUUAUUCAUAGCUUAAACUACAGUGUAUCUUCUCGAUAAUUCCAUUUUAGAAUCCGUGCCUAAUCACUUACCCAAUACUAUUGAGACACAAAUUUAGUCUCACCUGCGCCGUAUUUAUUUCCAUUAUUGAUGGCUUGAAUUGUUGACUAAUCGGCAACACUUGCCGUCACUUUUGACACGUGUAAUUCCUCGUAAUUUGAUAAAAAAAAGUGGAAAUCAGGAAUUGUUUUGAAUUUGUAUCGAAAUCGUGGCAAAGUUACGGACGAAAAUCAGGUGAUAAAAAUAGGGUUAAACAAGUUGAUCGUUAAACACUUGUUAAAGUUGUUACCACGUAUGAGUGAGCUCAAGUCUGGACGGGCGGAGCGAAAGCAGAAACUGCGGCUGAAAGUCUUUCGCACUCUCUAAACAGUGUCAUGGAAAUUUACUAAGAGACCGGCGAAGAGAACGACGUAGAUAGAUAGAGAAAGAAGGGAGUAAGGAAGAGCUUUGGGCUAGAGCAUCGUCAGAUCGUAAAUGGUGCGAGCGUAACUGCCCUGGCAAGGCGAACGGAUGCUCGGUAGUAGAUACAAACGCAAGUGAUUAACGCAAGACCUCGCCGCAACUCGUUAAACCCAGGGGUUGUGUGUAUUGCGUUAUAAACGCCCAGGAGCUUGAGGAGCUUACGAAAUACUCUCCGCGCCAUCCUUGUCUACACUGGAGUUCUCGUGGUCUUUACAGAUUACUAAGAACAGUUCCGGUGCUCAAUGUUUCAAGUUUAAUUGAAAAUAUCCGAGAGGAUAUAGAAAUAAGAGAGCAUUAUGGAGCGUUGGGGAGUGGUCAUAAGAACGUUUCUAUAUACAGUCCAGAACGAAUGACGUAGCAUUAGUAGGGAUAUUAUUAUUCCUAGUGUUAUACAUUAGGCCAUAAAGGAACGCGCAGUUACCCAAUGACGUGGCAGAAUCCCUUCGCGAAGCGUUCCUCUGGGAAAUAGGCUUUUCCGCGAUCUCGCUGAAGUCUCGGCGGCAGGUUCCCCCGCGCCACUGCAGUACCCCCGCACCGGACAACGUUUCGGUCAACGCGCUUCUAAAAAAUGGAUAGUGGGAGAAGCUCGGAGCUCAGAAGGUUGUGAGUGGUCGCCGCGUCAGCAUGGAUCUUUGCUCAAAAGGGAGCAGGCGGCAAUGUCUCUUCGGGGAGGAAGCUGGCCGAGUUAAAUCGAGAUCUUCGUGUAUAUUUCUCAGUUAAUACUAUAAACGUCGUAGGCGAAUUUAGAGUAGGUGCUUUGGUAUAUGCGCGCGGCUUGACUGCCGUUGAUACAUGGGCUGUUAAAGCUUGGGUCACCGUUAUCUCGAGGCAAACGACGACGGAGACGACGGCGACGAUGGCCAGAACGAGCGCGCAUAGAACUGUGGAGCAGCCCCCUCUUCUGGGCUUUACGCCUAAAGGCCGAUCUCGCAGCAUUAACGGAGCCUCCCUCGUAAAUAGUCCGCUUUGCAUCCGAAUGUCCUAUUUACCGCUUAAAUAAUAUUUAUGCUAAUGGUCGAAUAAAAAUUCAUUUAGUGCAAAAGAGUGUAGCGAAACGGUGGGUGGAGGUGUGACGUUUCUAACGGAGGAGCUUUUUUAUGGUUCAAGGAAGGGCACGAAGAGAGUCUCGUUCCGCUUGGCCAGGAGAGAUGAAAAUGAAGAGUGAGAGGAAAAGUUAGUUGGACCUGUUUGCAGAGCUCUUGUCUAUUUGGAGGAAAGAAAAAAUGACGAGAAAAGACGCGGGUGAAGAAGUCUCUCGCGGGAUUGCGGAGCUUGGUAAAUGGUGGUCAGCGGCAAUAUUUUGCACUUUGAAACCAGGAACGAAGUGAAUCUCUCCAAAGAAAAAUGUAUCCAUCAAAUAAAACAAACGUACGAGCACGCAGAAAAGCAUUUGAAAGAAGAUGCGACGAAGGGAGACGAGCUUUCGAGAUUGCAACACGAAGGAUUACAGGCUUUCCAUAAACUGUUAGAACAAGUAGAAAAUGGAGUCAUGGAACCCAACCGCAGCCCUGGCGAGCAUUCAUCCUGUAGCGAAGCGAUUCUAACCGAGUUGUAUCAUUUGGUCCAUUUAUACAUAAGAGGCUUCUAGUAGAAACGUGAAGCGAUUUUCCAACAGACACCCAGAAUGCCAACGUUAUUAUGAGUGCAAUACAAAACCACGAGAAACAAAUCACUAAAAUUAAAAAUGGAAAAAAUUUUAUGAUUUAAAUAAAAACGAAAAAUAUUCGACUUUGUCGUACAGUGUCGAGAAAUAAUAAAUAUGAAAAACUGUAACAAAAGUGUUUUAAUGAAACCGGUAAUUAAAGAUCACAAAAUCCA
rnacentral:misc_RNA from 1 species